rnacentral:rRNA from 1 species
UACGUAGGUGGCAAGCGUUGUCCGGAAUUACUGGGCGUAAAGGGCUCGUAGGCGGCCAACUAAGUCAGACGUGAAAUCCCUCGGCUUAACCGGGGAACUGCAUCUGAUACUGGAUGGCUUGAGUUCGGGAGAGGGAUGCGGAAUUCCAGGUGUAGCGGUGAAAUGCGUAGAUAUCUGGAGGAACACCGGUGGCGAAGGCGGCAUCCUGGACCGACACUGACGCUGAGGAGCGAAAGCCAGGGGAGCAAACGGG